GCACAAUAAGGGUUGAUGAUCCAAAGACCUCAUCUUUAUUUUUCUUAUAUUUGCAGUUCCAGGAAGUCCUGCAGCCGCUCUAAAAGCAGCUGCCAAGGCAGCAAAAUAUGGAGCAGGUGGAGGAAGAGGACUUGUGCCUGGAGGAGGGGUUGGCAGCCUAGUACCUGGUGCUGUUAAUGGACUUGUGACUGGCAUUGGAGGAAUCGCAAGAGGUGGAGUACCUGGGGCAGCUGCAGCAGCAAAAGCAGCUGCUAAAGCAGCCAAAUAUGGUGAGUUUGAUCUGCAUCUAUCCUUACCUAAGCUAGCUUGU
rnacentral:lncRNA from 1 species